CUGAAACCUGAACACAGACGGAGGCCUACUGCUUUUAGACUACUGUUGGUAGUAGGAGGUAGUUACAUUCUGUAAUGUUUAGGGAGGUAGUUACAUUCUGUAAUGUUUAGGGAGGUAGUUACAUUCUGUAACGUUUAGGGAGGUAGUUGGUAGUAGGAGGUAGUUACAUUCUGUAAUGUUUAGGGAGGUAGUUGGUAGUAGGAGGUAGUUACAUUCUGUAACGUUUAGGGAGGUAGUUACAUUUAGGGAGGUAGUUGUUAGUAGGAGGUAGUUACAUUCUGUAACGUUUAGGGAGGUAGUUACAUUUAGGGAGGUAGUUGUUAGUAGGAGGUAGUUACAUUCUGUAACGUUUAGGGAGGUAGUUGGUAGUAGGAGGUAGUUACAUUCUGUAACGUUUAGGGAGGUAGUUACAUUUAGGGAGGUAGUUACGUUUAGGGAGGUAGUUACAUUUAGGGAGGUAGUUACAUUUAGGGAGGUAGUUACAUUCUGUAACGUUUAGGGAGGUAGUUGGUAGUAGGAGGUAGUUACAUUCUGUAAUGUUUAGGGAGGUAGUUGGUAGUAGGAGGUAGUUACAUUCUGUAAUGUUUAGGGAGGUAGUUACAUUCUGUAAUGUUUAGGGAGGUAGUUACAUUCUGUAAUGUUUAGGGAGGUAGUUGGUAGUAGGAGGUAGUUACAUUCUGUAAUGUUUAGGGAGGUAGUUACAUUCUGUAAUGUUUAGGGAGGUAGUUGGUAGUAGGAGGUAGUUACAUUUAGGGAGGUAGUUAUUAGUAGGAGGUAGUUACAUUCUGUAAUGUUUAGGGAGGUAGUUGGUAGUAGGAGGUAGUUACAUUUAGGGAGGUAGUUGUUAGUAGGAGGUAGUUACAUUUAGGGAGGUAGUUAUUAGUAGGAGGUAGUUACGUUUAGGGAGGUAGUUGGUAGUAGGAGGUAGUUACAUUCUGUAACGUUUAGGGAGGUAGUUGGUAGUAGGAGGUAGUUACAUUCUGUAACGUUUAGGGAGGUAGUUGUUAGUAGGAGGUAGUUACAUUUAGGGAGGUAGUUGUUAGUAGGAGGUAGUUACAUUUAGUGAGGUAGUUACAUUCUGUAAUGUUUAGGGAGGUAGUUACAUUCUGUAAUGUUUAGGGAGGUAGUUACAUUCUGUAACGUUUAGGGAGGUAGUUAUUAGUAGGAGGUAGUUACAUUCUGUAAUGUUUAGGGAGGUAGUUGGUAGUAGGAGGUAGUUACAUUCUGUAAUGUUUAGGGAGGUAGUUACAUUCUGUAAUGUUUAGGGAGGUAGUUACAUUCUGUAAUGUUUAGGGAGGUAGUUGGUAGUAGGAGGUAGUUACAUUCUGUAAUGUUUAGGGAGGUAGUUACAUUCUGUAAUGUUUAGGGAGGUAGUUGUUAGUAGGAGGUAGUUACAUUCUGUAAUGUUUAGGGAGGUAGUUGGUAGUAGGAGGUAGUUACAUUCUGUAACGUUUAGGGGGGUAGUUACAUUCUGUAAUGUUUAGGGAGGUAGUUACAUUCUGUAACGUUUAGGGAGGUAGUUACAUUCUGUAACGUUUAGGGAGGUAGUUGGUAGUAGGAGGUAGUUACAUUCUGUAACGUUUAGGGAGGUAAUUGUUAGUAGGAGGUAGUUACAUUCUGUAACGUUUAGGGAGGUAGUUGGUAGUAGGAGGUAGUUACAUUCUGUAAUGUUUAGGGAGGUAGUUGGUAGUAGGAGGUAGUUACAUUCUGUAACGUUUAGGGAGGUAGUUACAUUCUGUAACGUUUAGGGAGGUAGUUACAUUCUGUAACGUUUAGGGAGGUAGUUACAUUCUGUAAUGUUUAGGGAGGUAGUUGUUAGUAGGAGGUAGUUACAUUCUGUAACGUUUAGGGAGGUAGUUGGUAGUAGGAGGUAGUUACAUUCUGUAAUGUUUAGGGAGAUAGUUGUUAGUAGGAGGUAGUUACAUUCUGUAACGUUUAGGGAGGUAGUUGUUAGUAGGAGGUAGUUACAUUCUGUAACGUUUAGGGAGGUAGUUGUUAGUAGGAGGUAGUUACAUUCUGUAACGUUUAGGGAGGUAGUUACAUUCUGUAAUGUUUAGGGAGGUAGUUGGUAGUAGGAGGUAGUUACAUUCUGUAACGUUUAGGGAGGUAGUUACAUUCUGUAAUGUUUAGGGAGGUAGUUGUUAGUAGGAGGUAGUUACAUUCUGUAAUGUUUAGGGAGGUAGUUACAUUCUGUAAUGUUUAGGGAGGUAGUUACAUUCUGUAAUGUUUAGG